rnacentral:rRNA from 1 species
GACGAACCGUCCAAACGUUAUUCGGAAUCGCUGGGCUUAAAGGGUGCGUAGGCGGCGCGGAAAGUUGGGUGUGAAAUCCCUCGGCUCAACCGAGGAACUGCGCCCAAAACUGCCGUGCUCGAGGGAGAUAGAGGUGAGCGGAACUUAGGGUGGAGCGGUGAAAUGCGUUGAUAUCCUAAGGAACACCGGUGGCGAAAGCGGCUCACUGGAUCUCUUCUGACGCUGAGGCACGAAAGCUAGGGUAGCGAACGGG